GUAGGGAAUCUUCGGCAAUGGACGAAAGUCUGACCGAGCAACGCCGCGUGAGUGAAGAAGGUUUUCGGAUCGUAAAACUCUGUUGUUAGAGAAGAACGUUGUGUAGAGUGGAAAAUUACACAAGUGACGGUAUCUAACCAGAAAGGGACGGCUAACUACGUGCCAGCAGCCGCGGUAAUACGUAGGUCCCGAGCGUUGUCCGGAUUUAUUGGGCGUAAAGCGAGCGCAGGUGGUUUAAUAAGUCUGAUGUAAAAGGCAGUGGCUCAACCAUUGUGUGCAUUGGAAACUGUUAGACUUGAGUGCAGUAGAGGAGAGUGGAAUUCCAUGUGUAGCGGUGAAAUGCGUAGAUAUAUGGAGGAACACCGGUGGCGAAAGCGGCUCUCUGGACUGUAACUGACACUGAGGCUCGAAAGCGUGGGUAGCAAACAGGAUUAGAAACCCCAGUAGUCC
rnacentral:rRNA from 1 species